rnacentral:rRNA from 1 species
UGAUACCGCCCCUAGUUCUAACCAUAAACGAUGCCAACCAGCGAUCCGCCUGAGUUACUCAAAUGACUCGGCGGGCAGCUUCCGGGAAACCAAAGUAUUUGGGUUCCGGGGGAAGUAUGGUUGCAAAGCUGAAACUUAAAGGAAUUGACGGAAGGGCACCACCAGGAGUGGAGCCUGCGGCUUAAUUUGACUCAACACGGGAAAACUUACCCGGCCCGGACACUGGGAGGAUUGACAGAUUGAGAGCUCUUUCUUGAUUCGGUGGAUGGUGGUGCAUGGCCGUUCUUAGUUGGUGGAGCGAUUUGUCUGGUUAAUUCCGAUAACGAACGAGACUCUAGCCUAUUAAAUAGGUGCGGGGUUCCCAGCACCUUACAACCUUCUUAGAGGGACAAGCGGCUCCUAGCCGCACGAAACAGAGCAAUAACAGGUCUGUGAUGCCCUUAGAUGUCCGGGGCCGCACGCGCGCUACACUGAAGGAGGCAGCGUGUUUUUUUCCCUGUCUGAAAAGACUGGGUAACCCGUGGAACUUCCUUCGUGAUUGGGAUAGGGGCUUGCAAUUGUUCCCCUUGAACGAGGAAUUCCCAGUAAGCGCGAGUCAUAAGCUCGCGUUGAUUACGUCCCUGCCCUUUGUACACACCGCCCGUCGCUACUACCGAUUGAAUGAUUUAGUGAGGUCUUCGGACCGAUGUCCGGCGCGGCCUUUCGGUUGCGCCGGUCUGUUGGAAAGAUGACCAAACUUGAUCAUUUAGAGGAAGUAAAAGUCGUAACAAGGUUUCCGUAG